GUCCACGCCGUAAACGAUGGGUGCUAGGUGUUGGGGGCUUUAACACCCUCAGUGCCGUAGCUAACGCAUUAAGCACCCCGCCUGGGAAGUACGGCCGCAAGGCUAAAACUCAAAGGAAUUGACGGGGGCCCGCACAAGCGGUGGAGUAUGUGGUUUAAUUCGACGCAACGCGAAGAACCUUACCUGGCCUUGACAUGCCGAGAACCUGCCUGAAAGGGUGGGGUGCCCGCAAGGGAACUUGGACACAGGUGCUGCAUGGCUGUCGU
rnacentral:rRNA from 1 species